UCGGAGAAGUCAAACCUGGUUCAACCUUUUCGAACAAAAUUCACCUUAAAUUGGAACAUCAUGCCAUUAUUCAGCGACCCUUCACACACCCAAAGAGCUCCUGCUAGGACUGGAGCUCCAAGCGCUAAGCCCGGGAUCAUUUAGCACAUUAACAUGGACCAGCAGCAGCCGCUGAGAAGAGAAGAGGCACCCAACUCUUGAAAAUUUGGUUUGAAAUUUUAUAAGCAUUUAACUGAUUAAAUUAUAAUUCAAGAUUACGCUGAGCUUGUCAGUCGAAGCUCUGAACUACUAUAGUAAAUAUGCAUUUUGCGGGAAUCCUUUUGGUUCUGUCCGCACUUUUCCUGGCUGGCACUGAGGCAGAUUCAAUGCAAGCGGUCUUUUCGGACCCAGAACAUCCUGGCAAAUGUGUGAUUGAUGGCCUCAUUUUGAGCGACGGACAAUGGAUACGGCAUCCCAAGAUGUGCGCUCUGUUGUGGUGCGGGAGGAACAGCAUAGGCGGGAUACACAUAUGUGGCAAGGUUUCUCCACCGCCCGGCAGUAGGUUUGGCGAAUACACUGACCCAAAAGCUGACUAUCCCGCAUGCUGUCGUCGUGAAAUUAUUGAAGAACUUGAGAAGAAGGGAAUUUUCUAAAUAAAAGCAAAUUGAAAAAUAGAAA